UAAAGAGUACUAUGAAGACAAUUAAACAGGGGAUUGUGUUAGACAGCAACUGAUAUUUGCGGUGGGUUUUAGACUGCGUGGUCAAGGAUUGCCUCUCUGAAGGGACAUUUGAACUGAAUGAUACAAAGGAAUUUUUAGCACUUUCUCAGCAAAGGUUUAUUUCUUGAUUGUAUCAUAAUCUCAUCAAGGAUCAUCUGGGAACUCUAGUUUUUAUCUAAUUCCAGGACCCAGGCUGAGAGAGCAGCCACCAAACUGAAACUUGCAGGUUGCUGUGACAAAAGGAAGUAAGAUUCUGAAGGGCCUCACACCAGCAAUGAAAAGCUCUAGUCUACCUGGAAGAAUGAAUCCACAGAAUGUGACCUCAUUGUCCCUACUCAGGAUUCUAGUUUGCUCACUUCAGUCAAGGUGCCUUAAACUUUUCUAAAAGUCAAGAACAGUCUGGAAAUACAUAUAUUCUCCAUAUCAACUUCUCAGAGCAAAAAUCAAAGAAAUGGGCACAAGACCGGCUCAAUGUUUUUUAUGAAUGAUUGAUAAUAUUAAUUUGAAGACUAUUUCUUACAUAUUAUACAUCCAUUUGUAGAGGGAGUAAAAGGUUCAAUCAAGGUUAUAGACACCACUAAGACAUACCUGCUUUUUCUUCUAGCAUUUUCAGUUUGUCUUUUUAAAAAACUUAAUCCUUUGUUCUGUUUGAAAUCUUUCAAUUGUGAAAUAUUUCAGGACUGAUAUUAAAUGUGACUAACACUAAGCCAAAUACCUAUGUGCCCAAUACCCAGCUUAUGAAAUAAAAUAUUAUAAAAAUA